UACAGAGGUCUCAAGCGUUGUUCGGAUUCAUUGGGCGUAAAGGGUGCGUAGGUGGCGGGGUAAGUCAGGUGUGAAAUUUCGGAGCUUAACUCCGAAACUGCAUUUGAUACUGCCUUGCUUGAGGACUGGAGAGGAGACUGGAAUUCACGGUGUAGCAGUGAAAUGCGUAGAGAUCGUGAGGAAGACCAGUGGCGAAGGCGGAUCUCUGGACCAGUUCUGACACUGAUGAGCGAAAGCCAGGGGAGCAAACGGG
rnacentral:rRNA from 1 species